ACUACCUCUCAGCAUGAACCCUCCACCCCAUCUCUCUGAAAAUGGCUUUACUUUUUUCUUCAUGGUCUGGGUAAAAUUGGUCGAAGUAGGGCAACUGCUUCUGUCCUGGGGAGGGAAAGAGUUUUCUCCAAAAGGACAGACGGAAGCAACAAAUGGGAAGGAAACUGACAAAGCUUGUGAAAUCCCAAACCGGACUGAUGUGCUGUGACCCCUGUAGCAUUCGGGCUGUCAAGAUUAAAGGAGCCUCCACUCUGUUUCGAAACUGCAACUCUUGUCCCCAAGACCUCAUCAACCCCACCUCUUGUUUUUGUUUUUGUUUUGUGUUUUUGGCCACAAGUCAACCACUCAUCAUAAGGUGGGCAAACCCCUCGGUCCACAUUUAAAUUUGUUUGUGUGACAAAUUGUCCUGCAGUUCCACCCUCUUAGCUACUGUAACCAGCACAAGAGAAACAAUGAAUUACGAGAUUAAAGUUACGGAAAAACGACUCAUCCUGCAGAUGUUGUCUGCUGAAGGCUGUUCUAUGGACAAAUAUGUAAAGGGUCUUUGUGUGUGUGUGUGUGUGUAAAGCCAACAGCUUCACAUUUGUUCUUUGGUAAUUUGUCUUCAAUAUGCCUCCCCCCGACCCCCAUGAUGAAAGGUCAAUUAUCAGACUCAAAAAUAAGCAACCUUAUCUGGCAAGCCUGUACUCCCAGAAAUGAAUGGGAGAGCUGGGGUUUCUCAUGGGGCAGAGAAA